GAUUUCUGGCGGACCGUUGCGGCCCGGGCUCGUUUCGGGCGUGUGUGCCGUGUCGUGUCCGUCAUCCUUCCAGAGAGCUGCGUCUACCAUUUACUUGGCCGGACGUACGUGAUCUGGAUCUAUUACUUUGAAAAAAUUAGAGUGUUUAAAGCAGGCUUACGCUGUGAAUACAUUAGCAUGGAAUAAUAAUUUAGGACUUCGGUUCUAUUUUGUUGGUUUCUAGGACUGAAGUAAUGAUUGAUAGGGAUAGUUGGGGGUGCUAGUAUUCAGCGGCCAGAGGUGAAAUUCUCGGAUUCGCUGAAGACUAACUUAUGCGAAAGCAUU
rnacentral:rRNA from 1 species